rfam:Anisakis simplex genome assembly, scaffold: ASIM_scaffold0000206
GGAUUGGCUCUCUUCAGAGCCACCCAAAAUCUAAAAUUAGGUUUAAU